CAUCAAGCAUACAGGGUGACACACUAAAGGUCCCUUGCCCAUCAUGAGAGAGUUACGAUAAGAGAGGGGAAAUUACACUCCCCUCUCUGUACUAUGCCCUAAUAUUACUUUCCCCCAAUGUACUUUUCAAAAAUACCAGUCACUUCCCUUGUAGUUUAAAGAUUAAUAGUAUUAAAAUUCCAUGUAAAAAGACUGAUUUACCCUCGUAUCCAAGACAUAUCUUUUCUCUCCCAUUUCCUCAUCUUUGAAUCUGCUCUCAAACUCGCCUGACGGAGGAAAGAAGAAAGACAACAGCAAGGUUUUCUCAUUAUGACCUAACCCAGCCCAAAUCGAAGCUCUUGAUCCAGAGACUGUUCUGGUGACGCCUUACCUCAACAUAAUUGCUCGGCUUGAGGAUGCACCUCAGAUCUUCACAGGACAUUUGCAAGGCCUUCGGCUUUGAGCCAGCCAACGCCAGACUAACAUUACCGAUUUCAAAGACCUGACCCAAAAGUGCGUCAAUGCUACCAAGAUCUCUGGGAGUUGAUGCAGAAGGAGUGCCUAAUAGACUAACCUACGAUGAAAUCCAGAGCAAGGCAUAUAUGGAAGUGAAGGGAACAGGAACCGCAAACCAGUGCCCAACCAUCUAUGGCGGAUUGGAAUCCUUCUCCUUCAAACUAGGCAAGUACAGUAAGAAAAAAUUAUGCUUGGAGCCAACAUCGUUCACCGUCAAGGCCGAGGGUGUGACCAAGAACGCUCACCUGAGUUCCAGAAGAAGAAGCUCAUGAUCCGUUUGAUCUACACAUUGGACGAGAUUGAGGUAACAUUUCGAGUUGUCCACUGACGGCACCAUCAAGUUCUUGCAGAAAGACGGCAUCGACUAUGCUGCCGUUACGGUUCAACUCCUAGGAGGCGAGGGAGCGUGUGCCUUUCCUCUUCACCAUCAAGUAGCUUGUGGCAUCGUUAAAGCUGGAGAAUUAUUCCGCUGUUUUUUUAUAUUCCAACCAAACGUUAUUCUCUUACAUUUUCUAUUGGGUAUGUCUAAAUGUAACCUACAAAAACCUUAUAACCUAAAUUACUAUGUCUCCAAACCUUAUAACCUAAAUUACUAUGUCUCCAUUAUUUUGUUA